GAUGAACGCUGGCGGCGUGCUUAACACAUGCAAGUCGAACGGAGUUAACAUUUCAAAGCAAUUAGCUUGCUAAGAGCGGCGAUGUUGUUAACUUAGUGGCGGACGGGUGAGUAACGCGUGGGUAACCUGCCGUAUACAGGGGGAUAACACCUUAGAAAUGGGUGCUAAUACCGCAUAAGCGCACAGUAUCGCAUGAUACGGUGUGAAAAACUCCGGUGGUAUACGAUGGACCCGCGUCUGAUUAGCUAGUUGGUGAGGUAACGGCCCACCAAGGCGACGAUCAGUAGCCGGCCUGAGAGGUGAACGGCCACAUUGGGACUGAGACACGGCCCAAAACUCCUACGGGAGCAGCAGUGGGGAAUAUUGCACAAUGGGGGAAACCCUGAUGCAG
rnacentral:rRNA from 1 species